GAGACGCUGGCGGCGUGCCUAACACAUGCAAGUCGAACGCGAAGCCGGCCCCUUCGGGGGCGGGUGGAGAGUGGCGAACGGGUGAGUAAGACGUCGGCGACCUAUCCCGGAGAGGGGGACAACCGCUGGAAACGGCGGCUAAUACCCCAUAGUCUCCAUGCUUUGGUGGAUGGAGGAAAAGCUCUGGCGCUCUGGGAGGGGCCGGCGGCCUAUCAGGUAGUUGGUGAGGUAACGGCCCACCAAGCCGAUGACGGGUAGGGGGCGUGAGAGCGUGGCCCCCCACACGGGGACUGAGACACGGCCCCGACUCCUACGGGAGGCAGCAGUGAGGAAUCUUGCGCAAUGGGGGCAACCCUGACGCAGCGACGCCGCGUGGGUGAGGAAGCCCUUCGGGGUGUAAAGCCCUUUUCUGGGGGAAGAGAGAGGACGGUACCCCAGGAAUAAGUCACGGCUAACUACGUGCCAGCCGCCGCGGUAAUAC
rnacentral:rRNA from 1 species